rnacentral:rRNA from 1 species
UACGGGGGGGGCAAGCGUUGUUCGGAAUUACUGGGCGUAAAGGGCUCGUAGGCGGCCGACUAAGUCAGACGUGAAAUCCCUCGGCUUAACCGGGGAACUGCGUCUGAUACUGGACGGCUUGAGUUCGGGAGAGGGAUGCGGAAUUCCAGGUGUAGCGGUGAAAUGCGUAGAUAUCUGGAGGAACACCGGUGGCGAAGGCGGCAUCCUGGGCCGACACUGACGCUGAUGAGCGAAAGCCAGGGGAGCAAACGGG